rnacentral:rRNA from 1 species
CCAAUAGCGUAUAUUAAAGUUGUUGCAGUUAAAAAGCUCGUAGUUGAAUUUCGGGAUCAAUAUGUCUGUCGUGCCUUCGGUACGUACGGGUAUAAUUGGUUUCUACCUUCUGAUGAACCUUGAUGCCAUUAAUUUGGUGUCUUGGGGACUCAGGACUGUUACCUUGAAAAAAUUAGAGUGUUUAAAGCAGGCAUACGCUUGAAUACAUUAGCAUGGAAUAAUGAAAUAGGACGUUCGAUUCUAUUUUGUUGGUUUCUAGGAUCGACGUAAUGAUUAAUAGGGAUAGUUGGGGGCAUUAGUAUUCAAUUGUCAGAGGUGAAAUUCUUGGAUUUAUUGAAGACUAACUACUGCGAAAGCAUUUGCCAAGGAUGUUUUCAUUAAUCAAGAACGAAAGUUAGGGGAUCGAAGACGAUCAGAUACCGUCGUAGUCUUAACCAUAAACUAUGCCGACUAGGGAUCGGAUGAUGUUAAUUUUUUAAUGACUCAUUCGGCGCCUUACG